rnacentral:lncRNA from 1 species
AAAAUAAUUAAAAAAUAAUAUCAGUUGAGAGUCUCAUUUAAUAAGUAUCAAAAAUAAAAGAUACUAGAUUUUGAUCCGCACUUUUAAAAUGCGGAUUUUUUUUCUUUUUUUUUCAAUUGACAAAUAUUUAGUAAAUGUCAUAUUUUCAUAUAUUUGUGUUUUAUUUUAUAAAAGACUUAAACUUUUGAUCUUUAUUUAUCGUAUUUCAUUUUAAAUGACUAUUUAUGUUUAAAAAAUUAAACUUUAUUUCUUUAAUGAAUUAAGUUGGUAUAACUCUGAUAAAUUAAUUUUAUCAUGUGGUUAAUAUUUUAAUAAAAAAAUUAUAUACUUUUAAUAAAGAUUUAUACUUUUCAAUGAAAAAAUCAAUUUUUUUAUGAAUGCUUAAAUUAUAUUAAAAAAAGAAAAAAUAAUAACUAAGAAUAGUUGAAAAAAAAUUAUUUGAACUUGGACUCAGUGGCCCAAAGGAAAAAAAAUGUGAGCAUUGGAUCUGAUUUUUUUAAUCGGCCCAAAUGGCCCAAGAGAGAUCUGAUGUGGGCUGGAUCCGAAAAAAAUGACUCAAUAUAGAUGUGUUAUUAAUAUUACUUGAUUGCCCUUAAUGAAACAUGCAAUGUUAGUA